rnacentral:pre_miRNA from 10 species
AAUUUUGAAUUUACUGGGUGGGUGUAAAUACAAUGACAUGUCAUUUGUAAAUUUUGUAUUUACACCCACCCAGUAAUUUCAAAA